rnacentral:misc_RNA from 1 species
CUCAUCUGCUGGUGAUGAUUCUUGAUCGAAGCUCUUGCGAGUACAGAAGUCAAAAUCGAUGCUGCUCACAGAGUUUGAUCGAAGGGGGCGUUGCUCAACAGGAAUAAUAUCUGAAAGACACAGAUCAUGAGAAAAAGAAAUUCUUGGACUGAUACCAGCAGAAUUAUCUGAACAUAAUUCAAUUGCCAUUUCUUCAACUUCUUCAAGAAAAC